UCCGAUAUGGUGUAACGGCUAACAUCGUCGCCUUUCAUUCCGAACGCGACAGCUCGGGGUUCGAUUCCCCGUAUCGGAG
rnacentral:tRNA from 1 species